rnacentral:lncRNA from 1 species
CUUUAAACUGUUUAGGAGUAUUUAUUCAUACAGCAUGUUUAAGAGUCAGCAUCAAGGAUUUCAAUCUUCCAAACAAGAAAAUUAGAAAGCAAGUUUCGUUCCCACAGUGACAGAGGAAGGGCAGAGGCUAUUAGGACAACUCAUCUCCUACAAUAUUAAAAACACCCUGGCAGGCUUUGCCAGGUCACAAGAAGGACCCGCCGGAGCUGGGAGUGGGAAGAGCAGCUGUGGUGGUGGCUCGCAGACAGACGUAUGCUGAUUUCACACAACUGGCUGACUUAACAGGUGUUCAAGAGUUUGAGCACCUGGAGUAGAGAUGAAUCUGAGAUGGGGGUAGCUGCAUCAGCCCCAUGCAAUGCACACUGGCUGAUGUCUUGAAGCUCUUUAGAUUACACUUUUGCAUUUGCUUCUACAGUGGAGAAUAAUACAGUCAGGACAUCAGGGACCUGCACUUUGAUCAUGAAAACAAACUGGCUGGACCUACCAUAUUGGUAGAAGCCCAGUCACCUUCCAGCUGCCUCGAGAUAUAUGUUUGGGUGUGUGCAGGAGUCCAUGAAAAGUGGGGCAAUGAGUGCCUCUCUGAGUGAUCUCUGGGCUUUUAAGAAAUCAAAACAACAUAAGACAAAUAAUAAAGAUGAAACUCCUCUUACCACAGCUGGAGACCUCUGAGGAAAAGGAUUAUUUUCUGGUCAGAAACUUAUGAGACUACUUUCCUUGUAUGGGAACAAUGGCUGGACAUCCAGAACUCCUAGCUGAGAUCAAGCUGUCUUCGUGGUGGGAAGGGCUUCCAGGGUCCUGGCUGAGUUAUCAUCACCAUCCACCUCUACUUUUCCUCAAGAGCCAACUCCAGGCCAGGCAUUGUACUAG